AAAGGAAUGUUGACCGUCAUGUGUCAUGUUCUUAUUGGAUGAUGACUGUUGUGUCAUGUUCUGAUUGGUCAAUGAAAAUAACAAUGCAUUUCAUCUUUUAUGGAGUUGACAUCCAAUUAGAACAUGAUACAUGACAGUCAUCAUCCAAUA
rnacentral:pre_miRNA from 1 species